AGGAUUAACGCUGGCGGCGUGCAUGAAACAUGCAAGUCGAGCGCGGUGUGAUGCGGGGUAACCCAAUUCACAUCUAGCGGCGAACGGGUGAGUAACACGUGAGCAACCUACCUUUGAGUUGGGGAUAGCCCUGGGAAACCAGGAUUAAUACCCGAUGUGGUCACAACAGGACAUCCUGAUGUGAGUAAAGGCGCAAGCCGCUCAAUGACGGGCUCGCGGCCUAUUAGCUUGUUGGUGGGUAACGGCCUACCAAGGCGAUGAUGGGUAGCUGGUCUGAGAGGACGAUCAGCCACACUGGGACUGAGACACGGCCCAGACUCCUACGGGAGGCAGCAGUUAGGAAUUUUCCGCAAUGGGCGAAAGCCUGACGGAGCAACGCCGCGUGAGUGAUGAAGACCUUAGGGUUGUAAAGCUCUGUCGGAGGGAAGAACACAAUGACGGUACCCUCCAAGAAAGCCCGGCUAACUACGCGCCAGCAGCCGCGGUAAU
rnacentral:rRNA from 1 species